CCUACGGGAGGCAGCAGUGGGGAAUUUUGGACAAUGGGCGCAAGCCUGAUCCAGCCAUGCCGCGUGCAGGAUGAAGGCCUUCGGGUUGUAAACUGCUUUUUGUACGGAACGAAAAGACUCUGGUUAAUACCUGGGGUUCAUGACGGUACCGUAAGAAUAAGCACCGGCUAACUACGUGCCAGCAGCCGCGGUAAUACGUAGGGUGCGAGCGUUAAUCGGAAUUACUGGGCGUAAAGCGUGCGCAGGCGGUUAUAUAAGACAGAUGUGAAAUCCCCGGGCUCAACCUGGGAACUGCAUUUGUGACUGUAUAGCUAGAGUACGGUAGAGGGGGAUGGAAUUCCGCGUGUAGCAGUGAAAUGCGUAGAUAUGCGGAGGAACACCGAUGGCGAAGGCAAUCCCCUGGACCCUGUACUGACGCUCAUGCACGAAAGCGUGGGGAGCAAACAGGAUUAGAUACCCUGGUAGUCCAGCCCUAAACGAUGUCAACUGGUUNUUGGGUCUUUCAACUUNUACUCAGUAACGAAGACGACGACGUAGAGUAGACCGCCGNGGGAGGUAACGGUCCGCGAGUUAGUAAACGUUACGAAAUAGAGUUGAGGCGUUGAGACGAGCCGACGGACGACGACGAGGGAGGAGG
rnacentral:rRNA from 1 species